rnacentral:tRNA from 1 species
GCCGAAAUAGCUCAGUUGGGAGAGCGUUAGACUGAAAAUCUAAAUGUCCCCGGUUCAAUCCCGGGUUUCGGCA